UACGUAGGGGGCUAGCGUUGUCCGGAAUCAUUGGGCGUAAAGCGCGCGUAGGCGGCCCGGUAAGUCCGCUGUGAAAGUCAAAGGCUCAACCUUUGAAUGUCAGCGGAUACUGCCGGGCUAGAGUCCGGAAGAGGCGAGUGGAACUCCUGGUGUAGCGGUGGAAUGCGCAGAUAUCAGGAAGAACACCGACGGCGAAGGCAGCUCGCUGGGACGGAACUGACGCUGAGGCGCGAAAGCGUGGGGAGCGAACAGG
rnacentral:rRNA from 1 species